UGGUACAUCUGUGAAGGUGAGGAAGACUACAGUAAAGAAACCAGAUGAUAAAUCACAUCCUUCCUCCUGCUCUUCAUCAUCAGUCAGAUGAUGAUUGUAACCCAGUGGCUUCACCAUGUGUCUGAAAGUUGUCAUUGCAGCAAAAAAACUUCACAUCACACCUCCCAAAGUCACAUGAAGGAGUUAAACAGCAGUCAGAAUCUUAACCAAUCAGCAUCAAGCAUGGCAGAAACCAGUCAUUCACAGGUCAGACCUUCUCCAUGUGUUUCCUGCCUGAAGAUGAAGAUCUCCUGGAGUCUUGGUUGGUGAAGAGGAACAAACAUGGAGAUCAUCAGAAUGAAAAGGAUGCUGCAGUUCUCCUGAAAUGUUUACUAAAAUCUGAAAAUCUCAGAUGAGUUUGUGUGUUUGAUGCAAAACAAAAAGACUAAAGGUCAGUACAGACCUGAGCUAAGUCAAAUCAAACCACAACCUGUGUGGAGCUGUUCACCUGCUAACAGUCACAUGAUAAAGCUCCGCCCUCCACCUGCUCACAGGUGACCCUUACCUGAGUUCAGAGCAGCAGAAAGACAGGGACUCUGCAGAGAAACAGACAGCAGCUCAGUGUUCAUCUUCCUCUCAAACUCCUCAUAUCUUGUUGUGACAAACAGGAAGUAGUUUGUUUGUGACAUCAUCAGCAUGGACGCGGUUUAGAGCUGCAGAGGAAGUGAGAGGAACGAGGAGGAGCUGCUCCUUCAGGAGACUGAUAACAUCAACGCUCAUCGGACACAGACCCGUUUGGAUCUCCCGCAGGUUCUCUGGACGGGUCUGGACCUGCAGCUUCAUGAAGAAACAUCUGAACAGGACCGCUAACACCAACAAGCUGCUGAUAAAGUCCAGUGUGAAGAAAGACCAGCCAGCAGUUGCUGAGUCAAAUCCUGGACCACCAGGGUCUGCUGGAGCCUUCAUCAGGUGGGAGGUGGGCUCUCCUGGACAUGUUUGACACACAGUGUCGGAGGGGUGGAUAAAGCGAUCUUCCGCUGGGGAGACGACCAGGCACAAGAAGCAGAGGCCAGGGAGUGUGCACACAGAUGUUUUUUUUAUUAUGACAAUAAUAAAAAAAUAAAAGGGCUUUGUAAAAGCUCAGGUAAAAAAAAGACGCGCUAGCUUUAAAAGGACAUAAAAUCAUUAAAAGUUUUGAAGUGGAAGCCACCUUCAAUAAAAGUGAUCAACGUCACACGAAAAUAAAAGCAUACAGCACCACAUGUCCCCUUAAAAUAAAUGGCGAGGCAGAUUAAAAGAGUCACAAG